rnacentral:siRNA from 1 species
AUAGCGAAAAGCUUGAAUGCUGUA